rnacentral:rRNA from 1 species
AGUGAACGCUGGCGGUAGGCCUAACACAUGCAAGUCGAACGGCAGCACAGUAAGAGCUUGCUCUUACGGGUGGCGAGUGGCGGACGGGUGAGGAGUACAUCGGAAUCUACUUUUUCGUGGGGGAUAACGUAGGGAAACUUACGCUAAUACCGCAUACGACCUACGGGUGAAAGCAGGGGAUCUUCGGACCUUGCGCGAUUGAAUGAGCCGAUGUCGGAUUAGCUAGUUGGCGGGGUAAAGGCCCACCAAGGCGACGAUCCGUAGCUGGUCUGAGAGGAUGAUCAGCCACACUGGAACUGAGACACGGUCCAGACUCCUACGGGAGGCAGCAGUGGGGAAUAUUGGACAAUGGGCGCAAGCCUGAUCCAGCUAUACCGCGUGGGUGAAGAAGGCCUUCGGGUUGUAAAGCCCUUUUGUUGGGAAAGAAAAGCAGCAGGUUAAUACCCCGCUGUUCUGACGGUACCCAAAGAAUAAGCACCGGCUAACUUCGUG